AAAUAUCAUUCUUAUGCAUGUUGCUUUCUAGUAAAUAUUAGUGUUUUUUAUUUACAUAGAAGAUGCUUAUUGAAAUUUGAUUGACUUGUAUAUGUUCCUAAGGCCACCGAUAAUAGCUCUUGCCAGCAAAUCUGAAAUAUCCACCUCGAACAAUGUGGUUAAGUAUUAUCUAACAUGUUAAAAUGGAUAUUCUCAGGCUGCUGUGCUGGCUAUGGAUGAAUCAAUAUUAGAUGUAGAUCAGGUGGAAAAUCUCAUUAAGUUUUGUCCUACCAAAGAAGAGAUGGAACUUUUGAAGGGAUACACUGGUGACAAAGAGAAUUUGGGAAAAUGCGAACAGCUGAUGAAGGUGCCACGAGUAGAGUCAAAGUUAAGAGUAUUCUCUUUCAAGAUUCAAUUUCUGUCUCAGGUUACAGAAUUUAAGAAGAGUUUAAAAACUGUGAACUCUGCUUGUGAAGAGGUCCGAAAGUCUGUCAAGCUUAAGAUCAUGAAGAAAAUUCUUUUUUAUUGGGUAAUACAUUAAAUCAAGGAACAGCUAGGGGAUCCGUAAUUGGAUUCAAGUAGGAUAGUCUUUUAAAGCUUACUGACACUCGUGCUUCUAACAAUAAGAUGACACUGAUGCACUAUCUUUGCAAGGUUCUAGCUGAUAGGUCGCCUGGACUGCUCGACUUCCACUUAGACCUUGUAAGCCUGGAAGCUGCGACUAAGGAGAGUUUAACUUUUCAAAUGUGAAGAGAAUAGGGAAACUUUGUGGCAACAGUUCUGAUUUUGGCAUUGUGGUGGGAGGCAGGGGAUUUUUGUCUAGCUGCUAGGGUGAUGAUUUUUUAAAUUAUAGCUCUUUAUCUUACGGUUUAUAGCUUAUACUUUUUUUAUCUUUGAAUUCUAAUUUUGGAUUUGUGAAACACUACUAUGCAUUGGUGAAACUUGUACACGGUACAGAAAGGAUUAAUGAUAUCAGUCAUUGAUAGUUU